rnacentral:rRNA from 1 species
AUUGAACGCUGGCGGCAUGCUUUACACAUGCAAGUCGAACGGCAGCACGGGCUUCGGCCUGGUGGCGAGUGGCGAACGGGUGAGUAAUGCAUCGGAACGUACCGUGUAAUGGGGGGAUAACGUAGCGAAAGUUACGCUAAUACCGCAUACGCCCUGAGGGGGAAAGUGGGGACCGCAAGGCCUCACGUUAUACGAGCGGCCGAUGUCGGAUUAGCUAGUUGGUGGGGUAAAGGCCUACCAAGGCGACGAUCCGUAGCGGGUCUGAGAGGAUGAUCCGCCACACUGGGACUGAGACACGGCCCAGACUCCUACGGGAGGCAGCAGUGGGGAAUUUUGGACAAUGGGCGCAAGCCUGAUCCAGCCAUGCCGCGUGAGUGAAGAAGG